CUCACUUCGUUUCAUGUAGUUCGUUCUCUCGACAAGCAUGGGAGUAAAGUUUGAUGCUGCCAAAAUUUUACUUUACGUUGUAUGCUAUGAGUCUAUUUGCUAGCAAAAUCGAUCAUAGCCACCUUCUGUAGACUAUUAUUUGCUAUAAUAAUUGUCUAAACCAUGACAGAUGACACUUAACUUCUGACUUUACAUGUCUGCCGGAGUUAUUAAUGAAAAUAAGUUUAAUUAAAAUUUUAUUACAAGUGGAUAUGCUAAAUCCCUUUUUGUAAUGCUAAAUUAAUCAAUCAGUUAAUGAUUCUGUAAAUCACCGUCACAUCUAUGAGAUUUCUUCAGACAUCUAGCCUUCUGUGGCAAUCAUUUUCGAUUAUUGGCCACUACUCUUCUCCGAAGUCAUUCUCCAGCUUGUUCUCACUGUUUUUGAUAAGUCUCGGGGUACUUAUCUUCAUGGCUGAUUUGAAGGGUCAACUUCCUUCCCUUUAAGAAAGUUAAAUACACAAGCAAUCAAUCAAUCAGUAAGAGGGAAACAGUUGCUUGUUUAUCUUUGAUAAGUACGUUAAAUCUUAUGGUAAGAACAUGAACAAGUGGGGCGGAGAAUACGUCUUGAUUCAGAAACAAUUCUCACUGGAUUUCAUGAAAAUGGAACACCACAUGUGGGGCGAUGCUGCCGGCUUGCUUCCAAAAUCAGGAAGCUCUUGUAGCCAGGGAACAGCAGAAUUUAAUUCUAAGAUGGCUUGAAUUGUUCUCUUGUGAAUUAUCUGAGUAUUCAACCUUUUAUAGCGGUAAAGGAACCUCAAGACUACUGGUUCAUCUUUUUUCACUGUUGCACAGAGGGCCUCCAAGAGUAGAAUUGUCCGUGCUCCUUUUUUUUUUUUUUCAGGGUAUAGUAGGAGCUAGCCAUCGCUCUCAAAGCUAAGUUUCUUUCGGGUUAGAGAGGCCAUCCACACUCAAAGAGGUGCAUUCAUGGGAAACAUUUUUCAUGAAAAUCGUUCUUGCUUGAGGCAGAUGAUUCCCUUGGGUAAGACGGCUAUACAAAAGGCUAGGGCAUCCAUUCACGGCGUCAAUCAUGCAAGAAGAGUAAUUUCCUAACACGAAACCAAUUGUCAAGAAAGAAUACCUGCAUCCAAUGGAAUACAUUACAAGACGACUCUCCAGAAACUUCCUAUAGUUGAGGAUCUCUUGCAUUCUAGAGCUUUUUAUCUGCUACCGGUCCACAUUGACAACGUAGACAAAUAUUUCCAGCCAUUCCCUUUGGAUAAAAUUCCCAGCUAUAGAAAGGUCUAGCCCUGCAGUUGUCAACACCGCUGUUGAUAUGCAGAGGCACUUCUGCAGCGGCCACACAGACCAUUGCUUACCUUCAUAAAGCAGUUUUAACUACCAGCCCGUACAAGGCAAAGAUGUGCUGUCGCGGCCGCUUUGUGUGUGAACAUCGUCACCCUAAACCAAUCAUUGUAAGAUAUCAAACAAAUUGUCUUGCCUAACUGCAAGUGCACAGAAAGACAAGUACCUUGUGGGUAAAAAUCAUAGCAUUCUAUAACAUGUAUCGAAACCUCAACCUCUGGUUUGCAAGUUGAGGCUUAAUUUUUACAGCAAAAGAAAGAAAUGGUACAAGCACAAACAUGUUUGAGCUUUAAUCAUAAGAAACUGUGUUAGCACAUAGCAAUAGGGUUCAGCAUAUGCUUAAGCUUGUUCCUCUUCACUUCCUUAUCCCCCCCUCCCUCCUUGCCGCCUCCACCACCAGCCAAUAUGGGGCAGUUAAUCUAUCCAUGUGAUGGAUGAACACAAGUUAGUUGUCAGCGGUAAGCAUGCGAUGUCAGCAUUAGCACACUACAGCAACCAUUCAUGGAUCAACAAAGCAGAAACCAGGGUAACCAUAGACUCAACCCAGUUAGAUUAGUUACCUCAGCAAUCGCAGAGAUCUGGAAGUAUUUGGUGAAGGCUCUAGGGGAGAGGCUCUCACCAC